UCCUUAUCAAGAGAAACGGAGGGACUGGCCCAAUGAUGUUUCAGCAACCAAGGUUUUAUACUUAUGGUGCUAAUUCCAGCAGGAUAUUUUCUGAAAGAUGAGGA
rnacentral:ncRNA from 21 species